GUUUCUGAAGGAGGAAGCUGAUGGGAAGAGGAGGGUUAGUGAUGAAGAUAAAGCACUCUCAGUGACAGACGCUGCCUUGCCGAUUGAAACAUUUGAUCACCACUUUUUGAUGAACACGCUGUGGAGAGAAACA